rnacentral:rRNA from 1 species
AAUAUUGGACAAUGGGCGAAACCCUGAUCCAGCCAUGCCGCGUGUAUGAUGAAGGUCUUCGGGUUGUAAAGCACUUUUGGCUGAGAAGAAAAGCUGUCACCUAAUACCUUGCUGUGUUGACGUUACCUACAGAAUAAGCACCGGCUAACUUCGUGCCAGCAGCCGCGGUAAUACGCAGGGUGCAAGCGUUAAUCGGAAUUACUGGGCGUAAAGCGUGCGUAGGUGGUUUGGUAAGUAAGAAGUGAAAGCCCAGGGCUCAACCUUGGAACUGCUUUUAAAACUGGCAAGCUAGAGUAUGGCAGAGGGGGGUAGAAUUCCAUGUGUAGCAGUGAAAUGCGUAGAUAUAGGAAGGAACACCAGUGGCGAAGGCGACCACCUGGGAUAAUACUGACACUGAGGUGCGAAAGCGUGGGGAGCAAACA